CCUGCCCAAUGUAAAAUAUGAAUGGCCGCGGUACUUUGACCGUGCUAAGGUAGCGCAAUCAAUUGGCUUUUAAUUGUAGCCAGGUAUGAAUGGAGUUACGGGGUUUAUCUGUCUCUUAGUUAAUUUAUCGAAGUUACUAUUCAGGUGAAAAAGCCUGAGUUAAUAAAAAGGACGAGAAGACCCUUAGAGUUUGUCUUAUAUUAAAGUUAUCUUUAAGUCAGUUUUGUUGGGGCAACAUAGGAUCAAUUAAACAUCCUAAAUAUACUAGCCGAUAUUUAUAAGCUUGAAUAAACUACCUUAGGGAUAACAGCAUAAUUUUAUUAUUAAGUUUGUGACCUCGAUGUUGGACUAGGAAACUAAAGGGCUAGCCGCCUUUUAGGUAAGUUCUGUUCGAACUAUUAUUCCUACGUGAUCU
rnacentral:rRNA from 1 species